UACGGAGGAUGCGAGCGUUAUCCGGAUUUAUUGGGUUUAAAGGGUGCGCAGGCGGUCUGUUAAGUCAGCGGUCAAAGCCCGGGGCUCAACCCCGGCCGGCCGUUGAAACUGGCGUGCUCGAGUUGGAGAGAAGUAUGCGGAAUUCGUGGUGUAGCGGUGAAAUGCAUAGAUAUCACGAAGAACCCCGAUUGCGAAGGCAGCAUACCGGCUCCACACUGACGCUGAGGCACGAAAGCGUGGGUAUAGAACAGG
rnacentral:rRNA from 1 species